AUUGAACGCUGGCGGCAGGCCUAACACAUGCAAGUCGAACGAGUGGCGGACGGGUGAGUAAUGUCUGGGAAACUGCCUGAUGGAGGGGGAUAACUACUGGAAACGGUAGCUAAUACCGCAUACCAGCGGAUGUGCCCAGAUGGGAUUAGCUUGUUGGUGGGGGAACGGCUCACCAAGGCGACGAGCCCUAGCUGGUCUGAGAGGAUGACCAGCCACAGUGGAAGUGAGACACGGUCCAGACUCCGAAGGGAGGCAGCAGGGGGGAAUAUUGCACAAGGGGCGCAAGCCGGAUGCAGCCAGGCCGCGUGUAUGAAGAAGGCCUUCGGGUUGUAAAGUACUUUCAGCGGGGAGGCGUUACCCGCAGAAGAAGCACCGGCUAACUCCGUGCCAGCAGCCGCGGUAAUUC
rnacentral:rRNA from 1 species